rnacentral:rRNA from 1 species
CGAGUCCGAGGAGCUACGGCUCUUAAGUGAUACAAGUCAGACUUCCCAGAAAAGCCCGAACCACGUUAAUUUCUAAUUUGCCUGUACCAUAACCGACACAGGUGGGUAGGUAGAGUAUACUAAGGGGCGCGAGAUAACUCUCUCUAAGGAACUCGGCAAAAUGACUCCGUAACUUCGGGAGAAGGAGUGCCUUAUUUUUAUAAGGUUGCAAUAACAAGAUCCAAGCAACUGUUUACCAAAAACACAGGUCUCCGCUAAGUCGUAAGACGAUGUAUGGGGGCUGACGCCUGCCCAGUGCCAGAAGGUUAAAGAAGUUGGUUAGUUUCGGCGAAGCUGAUGACUGAAGCCCUGGUGAACGGCGGCCGUAACGAUAACGGUCCUAAGGUAGCGAAAUUCCUUGUCGGGUAAGUUCCGACCCGCACGAAAGGCGUAAUGAUUUGGAUACUGUCUCGGAGAGGGGCUCGGUGAAAUAGACUUGUCUGUGAAGAUGCGGACUACCUGCACCUGGACAGAAAGACCCUAUGAAGCUUUACUGUAACUUGAGAUUGAAAUUGGACUUUAUUUGCGCAGUAUAGGUGGGAGACGUUGAGAAUAUUCUUGCGGGAACAUUGGAGUCAUCAGUGAGAUACCACUCUUGUAAUGUUAGAUUUCUAACUUUGUAUCAUUAUCUGGUCAAAGGACAGUUUCAGGCGGGCAGUUUGACUGGGGCGGUCGCCUCCCAAACGGUAACGGAGGCGCACAAAGGUUUCCUCUGAACGUGUAGAAAUCGUAUCUAGAGUGUAAAGGCAUAAGGAAGCUUGACUGUGAGACCUACAAGUCGAGCAGGGACGAAAGUCGGUCUUAGUGAUCUGACGGUGCUGAGUGGAAAGGCCGUCACUCAACGGAUAAAAGUUACUCUAAGGAUAACAGGCUGAUCUCCCCCAAGAGUUCACAUCGACGGGGAGGUUUGGCACCUCGAUGUCGGCUCAUCGCAUCCUGGGGCGGUAGUACGUCCCAAGGGUUGGGCUGUUCGCCCAUGAAAGCGGUACGCGAGCUGGGUUCAGAACGUCGUGAGACAGUUCGGUCCAUAUCCGGUGUAGGCGUUAGAAUAUUGAGAGGAGCCUUCUUUAGUACGAGAGGACCGAGAAGGACAUACCUCUGGUGUACCAGUUAUCGUGCCAACGGUAAACGCUGGGUAGCUAUGUAUGGAGCGGAUAACCGCUGAAAGCAUCUAAGUGGGAAGCCCACCUCAAGAUAAGUAUUCUCGU